ACCCCAAGGGAGGAAAAGGCACUGCUUAUAUAUGCUUAGGAGACUCGUGUCACUACCCGAUUGGUGCAAGCCCCAAUGCCCAAUUUGAAUGCCCCGAGAGCGGGCUGUGAUGUGCUUGGCUCAUGCGCACUGGGUCCUUCAGGGUAGACAACGGUUGUGCCCUGCUGACUCACUCACAGGAAAUCGGCGCCAUCUUUGGGCGAGGUGUCCAAGGAAACCUGCCUGAACAGAUAAAGAAAGUAUCUCAGCAGUGUCUAGGGCAGUGAAUGGGGAUCUCUUUCUGGCCUCUAUAUUGGACCUCCUUAGAAGGACAGUGGACAUGGACAGAAAGUCGGGGGCUACUGCUAAAGUAAAUAUAGUGAAGUUCAGGUCAUCCUAUUGGACAACCUUUCAGUGACAUUGGAUAGAUACUAUUUACAAAAAAUAUUGAAGUACUUAUUUAGAAUUCCAGCAUAAUGUAAUUAAAAUUCAAUUUAGAAACUUCAAUACAUGGUUGAGAGAAAUCCAAAUAUGUAUGAAUUCUUGGAUGUGCACAUUCCUAUACUUAAUAUGAGCGAUAUUUACACUUCACCUAUAGACUCAGUGCAACCAUUUUGAUGCUCACACACCAAAUGUAACAAUCAGCUAGGAAUAAACCAAAACGAGAUAGAAAAGAACAGUGAAGAUUCCUCAAGGUCCUGCAUUUCUAGUUCCAGCACAUCCCACAAAGCCUCAGAUAUACAGAAAGUGCUGCAGAGAAGAACAUAAAAUGGACAUAUGGAAUGGGCCACAAAUCCCAGCAAGAAAUCUACCUCAAUCAGGUCAGAUGAUUUGGUCAAAGGCAUCCAGAGAAAACAAAGCAAAUGUUCUAUCCACAAAGGAUGCAUAAGAGAUAUAAAGAGGAAACAAUUAGGAAACAAUUGAAAAAGAGAACACAGUCAACAUUGUUACAGUUGUUCCCAGAUCCAAACCCUAUAAUUUUCAUGGAAUAGUUACAUAAGAGGCCUACAGGAGUUUCUGUCUUAUAAGGAGGAAGAUCAGAAAGAAAUGAAGAUGAACUUUGGAAACAGAUGCUCUGGUGUCACUAGCAAUAAAAUGCUGAAGCUAGAUAAUCGCUAGAGCAGAAAUCUCCCUGGUGAUAUCUAGAGGGAGCCUGCCACACAAUAUACUACAGGAGACAACAAAUUACUGUUCGACCACAGAGUUUAUGGUCCACUGCUUAGCAGCAGUAGAGGAAUGUCCAGAUCUAACAAGUUGGGGAAAAUGCCAAGUCUACGGGAAACAGCUGAGUCCAACUGCUCUCCCACCAACCACCUGCCACUCUGAAGCACAAGGACAAACCCAGCACCUUGCUGUUGACUGAUCCCAGGCAGAUUUGGCUAUUGGUCUGGAUAGUCUUGCUGCUGUCCUGCCACCAGCGCUAGGAGAAGAUGACCAGAACCUGCUUCCUACAAACAUGCCCUGACAAGGAGCCUGUGCCUCCUACCCUACCUACAGUUUGUCCUUUAAGACAAAAUAAAUAGCUACUUACAAUGAACUUCUUUUGGGAAUACAUUUUCUAGCUUCAUCUUCAGUACCAACAACAACAAUGCCUAUUGAGAGCUAUAUUUUUAUCUUGAUCCUCCAGAGGAUCCAGCUAAGUGACCACAAGUUAUCAUCAUCAACCCCAAAGUUUCUGAUUCAGAAGUUAUACUUUUCCUGAAUAAACUUGU
rnacentral:sRNA from 1 species